rnacentral:lncRNA from 1 species
UCAAAUUUGACUUUGGCACUUAAAGUAAACACCACAACACUUAUUUCUUUCUUCUCUUCUCCUUAUCCACGCCAUCUCCAUCUUCUUCCUCUUUCUUUCAUUUCUUCAUUUUCUUACCUCCAAAUUUACCACCAAACUACCUAAUUAAAUCAUAGAUUAGUACUUAAUUCUUAAGAAUUAAGAAGUAGAAGUUGAGUUUGGUGAUUAAAACCAAAGAGAAGUGAAGUUACCAUUGAAGCAAGUAAGUUGUGGUUUUUGAGUUUUGUGAAUUGUUAAGUAGAAUUCAUGGUUUAGACAUGUUAUUGAUGCAUUAAAUCAUGCUCCAACUAUUUCUUUUGUCAAGUUUUGCUUGUAAUGUUGAUUUUUCAUGCUUUGAAGAGGUUGGAGAACCAUCCUCAAAGGGGAAAGAGAAAGCCAAGGAGUAAGGCUUUCCAAGCUUAUUCAAGCUUGUUAAUAAGGUUAGUGCAAUCAUAAUUUCACUUGUUUAAGUUGUUUUUACAUGGUUAGGGUUUUGAAUAUAUUUUGGGAACUUUGUAUGUUUUGUUGAAAUUGCUGAAUUUUAAUGUGA